UGAGACACGGCCCAAACUCCUACGGGAGGCAGCAGUGGGGAAUCUUGCACAAUGGAGGAAACUCUGAUGCAGCGAUGCCGCGUGAGUGAAGAAGGCCCUUGGGUUGUAAAGCUCUUUCGUCGGGGAAGAAAAUGACUGUACCCGAAUAAGAAGGUCCGGCUAACUUCGUGCCAGCAGCCGCGGUAAUACGAAGGGACCUAGCGUAGUUCGGAAUUACUGGGCUUAAAGAGUUCGUAGGUGGUUGAAAUAGUUGGUGGUGAAAUCCCAGAGCUUAACUCUGGAACUGCCAUCAAAACUUUUCAGCUAGAGUAUGAUAGAGGAAAGCAGAAUUUCUAGUGUAGAGGUGAAAUUCGUAGAUAUUAGAAAGAAUACCAAUUGCGAAGGCAGCUUUCUGGAUCAUUACUGACGCUGAGGAACGAAAGCAUGGGUAGCGAAGAGGAUUAGAUACCCUCGUAGUCCAUGCCGUAAACGAUGUGUGUUAGACGUUGGAAAUUUAUUUUCAGUGUCGCAGCGAAAGCGAUAAACACACCGCCUGGGGAGUACGACCGCAAGGUUAAAACUCAAAUGAAUUGACGGGGACCCGCACAAGUAGUGGAGCAUGUGGUUUAAUUCGAAGAUACGCGCAGAACCUUACCAACACUUGACAUGUUCGUCGCGACUCUAAGAGAUUAGAGUUUUCGGUUCGGCCGGACGAAACACAGGUGCUGCAUGGCUGUCGUCAGCUCGUGUCGUGAGAUGUUGGGUUAAGUCCCGCAACGAGCGCAACCCUCACUUUUAGUUGCCAUCAUUAAGUUGGGCACUCUGAAAGAACUGCCAGUGAUAAGCUGGAGGAAGGUGGGGAUGACGUCAAGUCCUCAUGGCCCUUACGUGUUGGGCUACACACGUGCUACAAUGGUAUCUACAACAGGAAGCAAGACGGCGACGUCAAGCAAAUCCUUAAAAGAUACCUCAGUUCGGAUUGCACUCUGCAACUCGAGUGCAUGAAGCUGGAAUUACUAGUAAUCGUGGAUCAGCGUGCCACGGUGAAUGCGUUCCCGGGUCUUGUACACACCGCCCGUCACACCAUGGGAGUUGGUUCUACCUUAAGGCAAGGUUUUAAACCCUUGACCACGGUAUAGUCAGCGACUGGGGUGAAGUCGUAACAAGGUAGCCGUAGGGGAACCUGCGGCUG
rnacentral:rRNA from 1 species